UCCUUUUGUCCACUUGAUGGCUUAUUACCACUAUUGAUUUUGGCUUCUUUAUUUUACAGACUUCCUGCGGGGCGGCAGAUGACCCGCCACAUAUCUGCUGCUGCGAGCACCAACCUAUAUCAGCCCAGAUUUUUCUAGAUAACUUGAUAUAUUUUUUCUUCAACUGGAGAGCUGGAGCAGAACUGGACCAUUUUUUUAUAUACAUUUUUUUUCUAGAGGACGUGUUUUCAUCCGGCGUUCAUCUUAGAAGGAGCCGAGCUCCAGCCUGA
rnacentral:lncRNA from 1 species